GACGAAUGCUGGCGGCGUGCCUAACACAUGCAAGUCGAACGGAGAUUUCAGCAAUGACAUCUUAGUGGCGAACGGGUGAGUAACGCGUAGACAACCUGCCUUUUAGAUGGGGACAACACCGCGAAAGCGGUGCCAAUACCGAAUGUUGUAUUUUAAUCGCAUGAUUGAGAUACUAAAGAUGGCCUCUGUAUAUGCUAUCGCUAAAAGAUGGGUCUGCGUCUGAUUAGCUAGUUGGUGAGGGAAUGGCUCACCAAGGCGACGAUCAGUAGCCGGGCUGAGAGGAUGAACGGCCACACUGGGACUGGGACCCGGCCCAGACUCCUACGGGAGGCAGCAGUGGGGAAUCUUCCGCAAUGGACGAAAGUCUGACGGAGCAACGCCGCGUGAGUGAAGAAGGUUUUCGGAUCGUAAAACUCUGUUUUCAGGGACGAAUGUGCAGCUUGUAAAUAAUGAGUUGUAAUGACGGUACCUGAGUAGAAAGCCACGGCUAACUACGUGCCAGCAGCCGCCGUAA
rnacentral:rRNA from 1 species